rnacentral:rRNA from 1 species
GACGAACGCUGGCGGCGUGCCUAACACAUGCAAGUCGAACGGAAUCCAUCGACAGAUCCCUUCGGGGUGAAGUCGUGAAGAUUUAGUGGCGGACGGGUGAGUAACACGUGAGCAACCUGCCUUUCAGUGGGGAAUAACACAGGGAAACUUGUGCUAAUACCGCAUAAUGCAUUUUGACCGCAUGGUCUUAAUGCCAAAGCUUUAUGUGCUGAAAGAUGGGCUCGCGUCCGAUUAGGUAGUUGGUGAGGUAACGGCUCACCAAGCCGACGAUCGGUAGCCGGACUGAGAGGUUGAACGGGCCACAUUGGGACUGAGACACGGCCCAGACUCCUACGGGAGGCAG